GAGAAGAGAUAGGUAUUUUUUUUUUGGUUUGGGAGAAAUGAGAGAAGAGAGGUGUCGAGAGGUGAAGGAAAGGAACUUGGUGGAUUUAGUGUGGCCGGUUCUACAUAGGUCCUGAAAUAAGGCCCAAUGAAACAACUACACAUGUAAUUUAAUUUAAAUAAAUAAAUAAUAUCGGUCGGUUGGGUAGAAUCGUCGGUAUUUAAAUAA